UACGUAGGGUGCAGGCGUUAAUCGGAAUUACUGGGCGUAAAGCGUGCGCAGGCGGCUCCUUAAGUCAGAUGUGAAAGCCCCGGGCUUAACCUGGGAACUGCGUUUGAAACUGGGGAGCUAGAGUGUAGAAGAGGGGGGUGGAAUUCCAGGUGUAGCAGUGAAAUGCGUAGAUAUCUGGAGGAACACCGAUGGCGAAGGCGGCCCCCUGGACCGGUACUGACGCUGAGGCGCGAAAGCGUGGGUAGCAAACGGG
rnacentral:rRNA from 1 species